UGGGGAAUAUUGGACAAUGGGCGGAAGCCUGAUCCAGCCAUGCCGCGUGUGUGAAGAAGGCCUUUUGGUUGUAAAGCACUUUAAGCGAGGAGGAGGCUACUUAGAUUAAUACUCUAGGAUAGUGGACGUUACUCGCAGAAUAAGCACCGGCUAACUCUGUGCCAGCAGCCGCGGUAAUACAGAGGGUGCGAGCGUUAAUCGGAUUUACUGGGCGUAAAGCGUGCGUAGGCGGCUGAUUAAGUCGGAUGUGAAAUCCCUGAGCUUAACUUAGGAAUUGCAUUCGAUACUGGUCAGCUAGAGUAUGGGAGAGGAUGGUAGAAUUCCAGGUGUAGCGGUGAAAUGCGUAGAGAUCUGGAGGAAUACCGAUUGCGAAGGCGAUCUACUGGAACAUUAUUGACGC
rnacentral:rRNA from 1 species